AUUGAACGCUGGCGGCAGGCCUAACACAUGCAAGUCGAACGAGUGGCGGACGGGAGAGUAAUGUCUGGGAAACUGCCCGAUGGAGGGGGAUAACUACCGGAAACGAUAGCUAAUACCGCCUACGUUAGGCUGUGUCCGGAUGGGAUUAGCGAGUAGGUGGGGUAACGGCUCACCUAGGCGACGACCCCUAGCUGGUCUGAGAGGAUGACCAGCCACACUGGAACUGAGACACGGUCCAGACUCCUACGGGAGGCAGCAGUGGGGAAUAUUGCACAAUGGGCGAAAGCCUGAUGCAGCCAUGCCGCGUGUAUGAAGAAGGCCUUCGGGUUGUAAAGUACUUUCAGCGAGGAGGCGUUACUCGCAGAAGAAGCACCGGCUAACUCCGUGCCAGCAGCCGCGGUAAUAC
rnacentral:rRNA from 1 species